CGGGGCGAGGCGGGGUGUCCCCCCCGCCCCCCCCAGCUCUGGCUUACUGGGCCUGGCGGGGCUCCGCUCUGGGGCCGGCGCCCGGCGCUUCCCGACGGCAGGAUUCCGGAGGCGCAGCUCUGCAGCUGCUCUCCAGUACCCAGAGGAUUUGUCAGAGAAGGCGCCCCGGGAGCAUGGUCACACGGCAGCCUUUCUCCACGCCUCUCUCCAGCCGGGGUUCCGGGCACUCACAUGUACAUGCCUGAUGUGUCUCAUGCUACUGGGACUGUGACCGCAACACUGCCGGCCGUGGGGGACCAGUCUUCAGUGCAGAGCGGAAUCCCUGUGCCGCGGGCUGGCCUCCGUCUUAGCUCUUUAAUGACCCUUACGCCUACCGAUAAAACGACUGUGAGAAGGGGCUGGUGGGGUUCACAGGUACAACCGAAGGAAACUUUUCUGAAGUAAAGGAGUAUCUGAUCUCUAGCUGGCUCCACGGCCUGGUGGUUAAGGUGGUUGGAUCUCACAGAGUGGACUGUGGUUCAAAUCCUGGACCCGACAGCUUGAGAAAUACACUGGGUCGCCAUCCUCGCACAACCCCAGACAAAGCUCUUUGCCUCGGGGUGGACCCUGGAGCACAGCUGCAGUGCCAGUGUGCAGAGGAAGCCAGAGCCCACGUGGCCAACAAGCCAGACAUUGCCUGCCCGAGCCCAUUGGAGGGAAAGGACUGCAGGUGGCCAGGUCCGCCCUGCCACCCCACCCCCACCCCCGUCCCCGCUGUGACUCUGGAGAGUGACUUGGUGCCUAUAGCCCACUGUCCCCAUGGACCGGCCCCCAAACAGAGCGCGUGCGUGUGCACAUUUACAAUCGGGGAGCAGGACCGAGAUGGUGCGUU